rnacentral:misc_RNA from 1 species
CAAAAGCAAAAAGAAAAGAUUGUAGACGACGUUUAUUUUCCAAUUCUCUUCCCUUGAUGGAAUAUAACAAUCACAGGGUUCUACCUGUCAAUUGCCAUGUCUUGAGGACCAACCAUCAAUUUGAGAGUGGCCUCAAGUUUCUAGAGCCAUUUUACCCGUGUUGGAAGGAUAUGUGCUAAAAGAUCAAACAAAUCCUUCAGUACUUCCUCUUCAUGUCCAUACCCAUUGCCAUUUAGCAUAUACUAAGAGAAACUGGGGAUUUAUAAAGCCAUACAUCACUUCUUUUUGCCAGCCUUCUCAAGGAGUGGCAACGUUUUCCUUGGCAAGAGGAGCGAUUUCCUCCCCUUCUGUUCCGGGUUGGCUAUUAUCGACUCCCAAUCCCAACAAGAAUUUCUCCCAUUGUUUAGCUGGACCCUUCCAAGAG